CCUACGGGAGGCAGCAGUCGAGAAUCAUUCACAAUGGGGGAAACCCUGAUGGUGCGACGCCGCGUGGGGGAAUGAAGGUCUUCGGAUUGUAAACCCCUGUCAUGUGGGAGCAAAUUAAAAAGAUAGUACCACAAGAGGAAGAGACGGCUAACUCUGUGCCAGCAGCCGCGGUAAUACAGAGGUCUCAAGCGUUGUUCGGAAUCACUGGGCGUAAAGGGUGCGUAGGCUGUUUCGUACGUCUUGUGUGAAACGGGCGGGCUCAACCCGCGGACGGCACAUGAUACUGCGAGACGGGAGUAAUGGAGGGGGAACCGGAAUUCGCGGUGUAGCAGUGAAAUGCGUAGAUAUCGAGAGGAACACUCGUGGCGAAGGCGGGUUCCUGGACAUUAACUGACGCUGAGGCACGAAGGCCAGGGGAGCGAAAGGGAUUAGAUACCCUGGUAGUC
rnacentral:rRNA from 1 species